AUACGUAGGGGGCGAGCGUUGUCCGGAAUGAUUGGGCGUAAAGGGCGCGUAGGCGGCGCGGUAAGUCUGGAGUGAAAGUCCUGCUUUCAAGGUGGGAAUUGCUUUGGAUACUGCCGCGCUUGAGUGCAGGAGAGGUUAUCGGAAUUCCCGGUGUAGCGGUGAAAUGCGUAGAGAUCGGGAGGAACACCAGUGGCGAAGGCGGGUAACUGGACUGCAACUGACGCUGAGGCGCGAAAGUGUGGGGAGCAAACAGGAUUAGAUACCCUGGUAGUCCACACUGUAAACGAUGAAUGCUAGGUGUAAGAGGUAUCGACCCCUUUUGUGCCGGAGUCAACACAAUAAGCAUUCCGCCUGGGGAGUACGGCCGCAAGGUUGAAACUCAAAUGAAUUGACAGGG
rnacentral:rRNA from 1 species